rnacentral:rRNA from 1 species
CUAACAUGUGUGCGAGUCAAUGGGCGCACUAAACCCACAGGCGAAAUGAAAGUGAUAACUGAUUGACUUGCAGUCUUUCAGAGGGCCGAUCCCAGGCUGAAGGUUGGGUUGGUUCGUCCGUCUGGGGCCGCUCCGGGGUGAGUUAUUUUCCCUCGUUCUUGUGGACCUGGCGUUGUGGCGGCUGGCUCGGCCAACGGUCCCCCGCUUCGGUGGGUGGUUCUUCGGAUAUGGGCGCAGGCCCGGGACUUGCCAUAGACCGUGCCGGUGGCCUUCUCACGAGGGUGGCUGGUAUCCGAGUCGGUAAGUACCCUGAGCAGACAUGUUAGGACCCGAAAGAUGGUGAACUAUGCCUGGCCAGGAUGAAGCCAGAGGAAACUCUGGUGGAGGUCCGUAGCGAUUCUGACGUGCAAAUCGAUCGUCGGAGCUGGGUAUAGGGGCGAAAGACUAAUCGAACCAUCUAGUAGCUGGUUCCCCCUGAAGUUUCCCUCAGGAUAGCUGGUACUCGAUAUAAGAGUUUCAUCUGGUAAAGCGAAUGAUUAGAGGUGUUGGGGACGAAACGUCCUCAACCUAUUCUCAAACUUUAAAUGGGUGAGAUGCCGAGCUUGCUUAAAGCAAAGUGAUUUUGAAGCUCUCGGCGAUGAAUCUAAGAGUAUCUAGUGGGCCAUUUUUGGUAAGCAGAACUGGCGAUGUGGGAUGAACCAAAAGUUGAGUUAAGGGGCCUAAAUGAAUGCUCAUUCAGAUCCCAUCGAAAGGUGUUGGUUGCUAUAGACAGCAGGACGGUGGCCAUGGAAGUUGGAAUCCGCUAAGGAGUGUGUAACAACUCACCUGCCGAAGCAACUAGCCCUUAAAAUGGCAUGGCGCUCAAGCAUUCUCCCGAUACUCAACCGCUGGGGCACUACAGGCUAGGUGACCGUGAGGUUGCCCGGUCUUGAAGCCCCAGUGUGUAAGGGGGUCGCAGGGGUGAGCGUAGAAGGGAUCCGGCGUAGGCCGGCCGGAGCCGC